rnacentral:antisense_RNA from 1 species
AAGUUUACAAAUUUGUGUUGGACCACAUUCAAAGCUGUCCUGGGUGGCAUGAGAACCAUGGGCUGAGGAUUGGACAAGCUUGCUCUACAAUAUUCAAAGAGCCAGAUUUCCUUCUGCACCAGAGCCUGUGGAAGCGCCACAGUGGAAGCAGCAGAGACUGGAAGAGCAGGCAAGAAGCUGGGAGCUUUGCACUGAACCAGGAAGACACCACAGCUCUUAGGCAAAGACCCGGAAAGGUGUCAACAUGGCCACACUACUGCUCCCACCUUGUCCUUACUUUCCUCAUCUCACCCCCACAGGCCACAGAUCAGCCCUGGGGUUCAGAGGGAUCCUGACGGCUACUCCUCAAGAUCCUCUCUGUUGUGAUUCAUCCCCCCCGGGCCCUACAGUUUCUCCUUCCUGACUCUUACAUUUCUUUGGAUGGCAUCAUUAUUUACCUGUCUCCUCCCAUAGUUAGGUGCCAAGCACUGUGGAUUCUGCCCCUCAGUGUCCAGACACCCAUUUUCCUUCCCACUGUUCCUUCCCCAUGGAGAAGCCUGUGGCUGGCUGACAGCAGAGAGAGAUGCUCAACUUGGAGAAGGUGUUACCUGGGCCAGGUGGGGAAGGUUUGUUUGCAGAGCAAAGAAGUGAAGGAAGUAUUAACCCUUUGCAUGGCCUCCUGAGAAUCCGACAAGACGUAAAUAGCCAAGAAUAUCUGUGGAACUUAAUCACUGAGUUACAGUAUUUAUCACUGCAAGUGUGUUGUUCAUUGACACUAUAAAGCCAUGUGGAAUUAAGCAGCCUUGAAACACAAAAUGGAGAAAGGCUGAGAGCUGAGAAUUGUUGCCUUCAGGAAAAUACAAUC